UAUUUAGGCACACCUCAUUGCAGUAGACAGUGGAGAUUUAUGGCACUUCCAGGAACUCAAAUUGCAGGUUUCAUGGCAUCUUUUACAACAUAAAAUAUUUUUCUUUUCCCAGUCUGUCCCCAGUAUUCUAUGAAAAGUUAAUUCUGCAAUAUCCCACUGCUAUGUGUUAAUGUUUACAGGAGUUUCUGGCCCAGGACUCACAGGCACUGGUGGCCUUGCCUGUGCUGCCUCUGUCCUUGGGGCUCAACCCCUAACCCAUGUUAGUGAGACUGGUAGUUGCAGGACACUAGUAAAAACAAAACCGUAGUGAGUAGAAAACAAACCAGAUUUUUCCUUUGAAGAGGCUGCUGCCUUUCCAAGCAUCAGAUUACUUUAAGAAAUACAAACUCUGGAAAACACUGCAAAUGUGUUAUUAAUUCCUGCUUUUUCUGAUAUUCAGGUCUUUAGUCCAAGGUGUCUUGGUGCAGGGAGAAAAGCCCCGGGGCAGCGCGGCGGGCACCCACGGCCGGGGUAACCGGGCGCUGCCCUUGAGCCGUCACUGGAGCGCGGGGCUGGGCACCGGGGCCGCCUCGGCCUCAGCUUCCUCUUCCGUGCGCCUCCGGGAGGAAAACGCGAUUCCUUUCUCUCCGUGCAAAUGCAGUCCCCCACGUACCUCGUCUCAGGCGUCCUCCGUGGAGCCGUCCGGCUGCUGCCUCCUGCCUGGGCCGCGGCUGCCGAGCCCUGUGCGGGGACCUUGUCCCCGGAGCCGGCGCCGCGGGCCGCGGGUGUUCCGGGGAGCGCUGACCUCUGCAGGCAGGAAAAUCCCACAGCGCUCGGGAUCUGCUGCCUGGUCACUGCACAGUUCCAUGGACACCUGUGCUGGGAACACUCAGCCUUUGCUUUCUGCACAGAGAAUUUGCCUUCCACCUGGGGAGUUGAUGGAACAGCCCAAUGUAUUUUCUGCCUGAUCAUGGAACUGCCUAAAAAGCCACUUUGAAAUGGCUGAAAUGGUGUCUAAAGGUGCUUGUGAAGUACAGCUGCACCUGCCUGUGCUGCUCUGGUAAGGGCACACAGAGGUUGGUAUUUCUGAUGGUACAGGUGUGCUGCUGAGACACACAGCUUGACUGGCACACUGGUGCAAAGCCAGUGACCCUUGGGAAAGCCACUAUGGUCACUUGGGCUGUUCUCAGUAAUACACAGAUUGUCCCUUUUAGUUACCAGGUUUCUAGGAGGCUUUCCAGAGCUGCAGCUGCCCUCUUGUCCCCUUGUGCCUGGCAAACCUGCCUCCACAGAGAAGCAGGAGUCCCCCAAGCUGUUCCUACAUGGACUUCCCUGUUUGAAAUAUUCACUGUGUCUCUAGAGUUAACCAAGAGUUAGCUGGUGGUUAGUGUGCACCCACAGUCUGGGGGGGAAAUAACACCAUUCUCUCUGCAUCCACUUGUGUGAGUACUUUUGGUGAAUACUGCACUUUUCCCACAGUGAUUCCCUCUGGUCUGGGAAAACCUUUUCUGUGCCUUCUACUGGAGCAAGUGUU
rnacentral:lncRNA from 1 species